UACAGAGGUCCCAAGCGUUGUUCGGAUUCAUUGGGCGUAAAGGGUGCGUAGGCGGCGCGGUAAGUCGGGUGUGAAAUCUCGGGGCUUAACUCCGAAACUGCAUUCGAUACUGCCGUGCUUGAGGACUGGAGAGGAGACUGGAAUUUACGGUGUAGCGGUGAAAUGCGUAGAUAUCUGGAGGAACACCGGUGGCGAAGGCGGCAUCCUGGACCAACACUGACGCUGAGGAGCGAAAGCCAGGGGAGCAAACGGG
rnacentral:rRNA from 1 species